rnacentral:piRNA from 1 species
UACUGCAGUGAGAUAAAGAUGUGCUAGAG